rnacentral:rRNA from 1 species
UACGGAGGGUGCAAGCGUUGCUCGGAAUUAUUGGGCGUAAAGCGCACGCAGGCGGCGUGGUAAGUCAGUUGUGAAACUCCCGGGCUUAACUUGGGAACUGCAGCUGAUACUGCCAUGCUUGAGUACGGAAGAGGGGAGUGGAAUUCCCAGUGUAGAGGUGAAAUUCGUAGAUAUUGGGAGGAACACCGGUGGCGAAGGCGGCUCCCUGGUCCGAUACUGACGCUCAUGUGCGAAAGCGUCGGGAGCAAACAGG